GGGACUAUAGUUAAUAAUAACAUUUGAGUUGCAUUCAAAAAGUACUACCCACGUAGUUAGCCUCA
rnacentral:tRNA from 2 species